rnacentral:rRNA from 1 species
CAGCCGCCGCGGUAAUACGUAGGGUGCAAGCGUUAAUCGGAAUUACUGGGCGUAAAGCGUGCGCAGGCGGUUUGUUAAGACAGAUGUGAAAUCCCCGGGCUCAACCUGGGAACUGCAUUUGUGACUGGCAGGCUAGAGUAUGGCAGAGGGGGGUGGAAUUCCGCGUGUAGCAGUGAAAUGCGUAGAUAUGCGGAGGAACACCGAUGGCGAAGGCAGCCCCCUGGGCCAAUACUGACGCUCAUGCACGAAAGCGUGGGGAGCAAACAGGAUUAGAGACCCCUGUAGUCCCUGUCUCUUAUAC